UACGUAGGGUGCAAGCGUUAAUCGGAAUUACUGGGCGUAAAGCGUGCGCAGGCGGUUGUGCAAGACAGAUGUGAAAUCCCCGGGCUUAACCUGGGAACUGCAUUUGUGACUGCACGGCUAGAGUGUGUCAGAGGGGGGUAGAAUUCCACGUGUAGCAGUGAAAUGCGUAGAUAUCAAGAGGAACACCAGUGGCGAAGGCGAGUCCCUGGACAACACCUGACACUGAGGCACGAAAGCUAGGGGAGCAACCAGG
rnacentral:rRNA from 1 species